CCUACGGGUGGCUGCAGUGAGGAAUAUUGGUCAAUGGGCGCGAGCCUGAACCAGCCAAGUAGCGUGAAGGAUGGCUGCCCUACGGGUUGUAAACUUCUGUUAUGAAGGAAUAAAGUGAGGCACGUGUGCCUUUUUGUAUGUACUUUAUGAAUAAGGAUCGGCUAACUCCGUGCCAGCAGCCGCGGUAAUACGGAGGAUCCGGGAGUUAUCCGGAUUUAUUGGGUUUAAAGGGAGCGUAGAUGGGUUGUUAAGUCAGUUGUGAAAGUUUGCGGCUCAACCGUAAAAUUGCAAGUGAUACUGGAAGUCUUGAGUACAGUUGAGGUAGGCGGAAUUCGUGGUGUAGCGGUGAAAUGCUUAGAUAUCACGAAGAACUCCGAUUGCGAAGGCAGCUUACUAAACUGCCACUGACAUUGAUGCUCGAAAGUGUGGGUAUCAAACAGGAUUAGAUACCCUUGUAGUC
rnacentral:rRNA from 1 species